GAGUCAUCCUUUUUGCCAGCCAGAGUGUUAAUUGGCAAAAGUAAAAAAUUCAUUAUUUUAAUUUUUUUAGUAAAUAUUCACAACUAUAUCUUUUAUAUAAUAAUAUAUUUUUUUAAUAAUAAUAUCUUUUAUAUAGACAUGCUUUAAUAGAUAUAAUAAAUGAUUAACGCGGCCCUACCAAUAUGGGUAUAUUAAUACUUAAAUCUGGGUAUUUUAAAUUUCGAAUGCGCAUUUUUAAAAAACCGAACUUAUCUAUAGAUCUCUUAUAUCUAGAAUAAUCUAGAUCUACAACACCCAGACUUAGACUAUGGUUCUAGAUCUAUUUAAAAGAUAUUUUUUAAAAAAUAACUCAACAGAUCUAAUAAAGUCAUGAUUUCCACUCUAUUUUCUCUAGAUCUAGACCAUACAUGAGUUAUUAACAAGUAGAACCAUGCCAACCAGUUCUGAUGAUGUACCAGAAUGGCUCAAGGAUCAUACUUAUACUAUUUCUACUCUCUGGGCAGACAUUAAUAAUAUUGGCAUCCAUUCAAUAUUUAUUUUAUGUUUGGAAAUGCAAGAAAAAGGCAUGCAUUCCUGUCAAGUCAAUGAUUGGUUGCACCUCUUAAAGAUAACUUUCUGUUAUGAGAAAAGAUGAGAUUCUUGGACUCCUGCAUAGCACCACCAGAAAGGAAAAUCCCAUCAUGUUGCAAAAUAAAAGUCUUGGACCAAUUUUAAUUUAAGAUAUAUAUAUUAUACUGUAAGCUCUAUACAUAUUUAUGUAUAUCCUGUCAUUCAGCCUACAGGUUUGGAUUUAGUAUUUCUUUAAAUCUGUUUGAUAUUGUACUUGAAAACUAUUAAUCUGAGCCCCAUUAAAACAAUAGGGAGUGCAGUGAACGAGUGGUAAAGCACUUGGCUUCUGAACUGAGGGUUCCUGGGUUCAAUUAAGACUGGGAUUUUCAAUUUCAGAAUUCAAAAGGCUAGGGAUACAUGGCAAUAGUAAGGAAUAAGUAAAGGCAGUUUGGGGAUCCAUGGCUGAAUGGUUAAGUCAUGGGUUUGAAUCUCUGUGAAGACUCGGAUUAAAAAUUUUUAGAUUUUUGGGUGCCCCUGAGUCCACCUAACUCUAAUGGGUAGCUGACUUUUGUUUUGGAAAGUAAAGAUGGUUGGUUGUUGUGCUGGCCACAUGAUGCACUGGCCAAAGAAUCAAAUGACCUUAACAUCAUCUGCCCUAUAGAUUGUGACGUCUGAAAUGGGAUAUUUUUUCAAAAGGUGGUUGGUUGUUGUGCUGGGUACAUGACACCCUCGCUAACCAUGGGGCACAGAAACUGAUAAACUUUAUAUCAUCUGCCCCAUAGAUUGCAAGAUAUGUAAGGGAAAUUUUACUUUUUUAAAAUUAAAAUAAGAAUCUAUCAAAAGUAAACAUAAAAUAUGGUGCAUUCUCCUUAAAACUAAAACCUAGUGCGAAGGUUUAAAAUGUUGGCAAAAAAAAGCAACAUCAUAUAUUCUUAAUUCCCUUUGCAAAACUUACUGAGAAGAACAUGCAUGUUGUUCCCUCAUAAGUUUCUUGACAGAGGAAAUCUUGUUUAUAUUAGAUUUGAAUUAAGCAAAUUAAGAAAAAAAUUAUAAUCAUUAUUUCAAAUGGUUGUAUCUAAACCUUAUGAAUUAUUUUUCUGUUAUAAGUAUAUUGAGAUUAAUGGAUAAUCAUGAAAUUGUUAAAUAAUUGCUGCUAUCAUUCCAUUGACUAAAGAACCAUAAUUUUUUUUUUUUUUAAAUUAAUUUCAAAAUGAUUUUUUUCAAGCAUAGAGUUCAUAUAGAUCUUGAGUGAAUUUUUUUUUUAUUUGACUAAUGCUUCAAUUUUAUUGUAUCAUAUUAGUUGUUAAUUUUUAUUACCCAGAAUAUUUAAAAAAUGAGUACACUAUUUUCAUGUAAUAAUGUAACUUGGUAUUCACACAAUGCUCAAAAUACACCAUAAUCUUUAGGCCAUACAGAUUUGUAUAAAUUAACUUGUUUAAAUACAUUGUAAAUGUAUAUUGUUUGGAUAAGAAUAAAGUUUUUUCUGUAGACAAUUAUUGUUCAAGAUUUGUUGAUGCUCCUGCUUAAUCAAUUAUAUAUACAGGUCAUUAGUUUUAACACGUCUGAUAAUAAAUGACAGUACAAGUUAGUGAAUGAAAAUUUGUCAUUAUUUCAGCUGCUUUAGUCCUACAUCACUGUGAGGUACCAGUACUUUGAUUGUGUCAUAUAACAAUUUAAAGCAACAUUUUGAAAUGAAUAGUCUGUAGAAUUGACAGUAAAUACAUUUAAGUGAUGGGCUGUGAUCUGCUUGAAUUGGGAGCUGAUCAUGUAUUGAAUUUGUGUUUUUGAUCUUUACUUCAAGUAAAUGUUAAUGAGCAAUUAAUUUUUAAUGAAUAAAUAAUUUAAAAAUAAAUACAAAAGAACCAUAAACAUCUACUUUAGUUUAAUAAUUUUUUUUCAUCAGAACAGAAUUUCCAACUUUGCAUUCUUAAAAUAAAAUAUAAUUUAUUUAGAGUAGAGUCAGAACACAAAAUCAUAGUUUUAAAAUAUUAAGUAAAUUAAGCUAAGCUGUGAUCUCUUAUAAACAUUUGUAUAUAGACUAUACACAAUUUAAUUAUUAUUUUUCAUCAAA